GUCAUCAAUGUGGUCUCAUGAUCUGUUUCUCAUUUCGACAGAAAUUACAUUAAAAGGAACAUGUCUACUUUUACUUUAUAUCAAGAAUUGAAAAAAUAUGUCUAUUUCUCCAAAUACAUUUUAGUAGGAAUUUCUGAGACAAAGACUGUGAUCCAGAGGCCAUAACAGACAGGAGCAAGCCAGAUGGUGCUGAUAGGAAUCUCUCUAACAAACUCCUGAUCCUGCUGGCUGCUUUACUUUGGCUUCUUCUUCCACCUUGAAGGACCAAGAUAAAUGCACUUACAAACACACCAGCUACUGGAGCCAAAGACUUCCUGCACUUUUUGACUGGAGCUCAACCAUGCCAGCGAUGGAUACCCUCAGCCAGAGCCUAAAAUGAACACUCACCAGGCAUCAAAUGGAAGUAAAAACCAUUGGCGCGUAUGAAACGGUGUCACUCACCAGCUGGCCUUUGACCCAAGGGAGCUCUUAUUCCACAUGCACUGUGUGUGGAGAGUUUUGUGUGCGCACACAUCAGAAGCGCUCGGCCAAACAGUCGUGUCGCUAAACUGCUAAACUGAGCUCUCUUACAUGACUUCUUGCAAUUUAAUGGACAAGUUCACACAAAAAUCCCCAAAAAUAGCGAAUAUACUAUAAUCUGUAAUAUAUUUAAGUGAAUUUUAACAGUAUACAAUGUACAAAGUGUUUUUAUCUGUGCUUUUGCUUGUUUGACUAUUGUUCUUAUUGUAUUACUGGCUGUUUGUCUUUAAUAAUGUUUUAAAUUUACAUUAUUAGGUUAGGAAUUUUAGUUGUCAAAUGAUAUAAAAUGUAUGUAGUUAAAAGAUGUUUGAUAAGUCCAUUUAAAAUUGUUUGGAACAAUUUUGAUGCAGUUUUAGUUAGUAGAACAGUCUUGGUUGGUUUUUCGGUACAUUUUCUUAAGUAACUGGCCAUUGGCAGGUG